rnacentral:rRNA from 1 species
UACGUAGGUGGCAAGCGUUGUCCGGAUUUACUGGGCGUAAAGAGCGCGCAGGCGGUCGUUCAAGUCGCGUGUGAAAGCCCCCGGCUCAACUGGGGAGGGUCACGCGAUACUGAUCGACUCGAAGGCAGGAGAGGGUAGUGGAAUUCCCGGUGUAGUGGUGAAAUGCGUAGAUAUCGGGAGGAACACCGGUGGCGAAGGCGGCUACCUGGACAGAGUCUGACGCUGAGGCACGAAAGCUAGGGGAGCAAACAGG